rnacentral:rRNA from 1 species
AGAGUUGUAUCCUGGCUCAGAUUGAACGCUGGCGGCAUGCCUUACACAUGCAAGUCGAACGGUAGAGGGGGCAACCCCUUGAGAGUGGCGAACGGGUGAGUAAUGCAUCGGAACGUGCCCAGUUGUGGGGGAUAACGUAGCGAAAGCUACGCUAAUACCGCAUACGACCUGAGGGUGAAAGCGGGGGACUCGCAAGAGCCUCGCGCAAUUGGAGCGGCCGAUGUCAGAUUAGGUAGUUGGUGGGGUAAAAGCCUACCAAGCCGACGAUCUGUAGCUGGUCUGAGAGGGCGACCAGCCACACUGGGACUGAGACACGGCCCAGACUCCUACGGGAGGCAGCAGUGGGGAAUUUUGGACAAUGGGCGCAAGCCUGAUCCAGCCAUGCCGCGCGCAGGAAGAAGGCCUUCGGGUUGUAAACUGCUUUUGUCAGGGAAGAAAUCCCUUGGGUUAAUACCUCGGGGGGAUGACGGUACCUGAAGAAUAAGCACCGGCUAACUACGUGCCAGCAGCCGCGGUAAUACGUAGGGUGCAAGCGUUAAUCGGAAUUACUGGGCGUAAAGCGUGCGCAGGCGGUUUUGUAAGACAGAGGUGAAAUCCCCGGGCUCAACCUGGGAACUGCCUUUGUGACUGCAAAGCUUGAGUGCGGCAGAGGGGGAUGGAAUUCCGCGUGUAGCAGUGAAAUGCGUAGAUAUGCGGAGGAA